AUUUUUCUUUCCAAAAUGGUUGAUUACUAUCUUCUUUAAGCAUGACUCUAGACAUGAAAACAUCUUUGUACCACCUAAAAUCGCUUAGGGUUAUACAUCUUAAGUUACUGAGUUGGUCAUGAAUCCUAGAUGUGACAUUACUAGGUGUCCCUAUGAAAUGUUCUAUGAUAGUGAAAAGUAAUGUGUUGACCACAUCUGGGACUCCUCUUCUGAUACAUUCAUCGAAAAUAGGUGUUCCGUCUUCAUCUCUUUUGACUGUAUUUUUUAUUGCAUUUCUGAAUUGUUCAGUAAGAUAUUUUUCCCACCAGGAAUGGAGGUUCCUGUAAAUCCAGUGACCAAAAUGUCGACAACUUGGGUUGGACUAAGGUUAUGAUUGGUAAUAUAACUAUUAGCAACUAUGAAGAUGGGUUGUAAUUUGUUCAAAAGUUCUUGUUCUGAUAAUCUAUCUAUGUUCCAUUCAUAGAGUUUAUCAGCCGAGACCGAGAAUUGGUUUUGGAUGUUUCUUUCCUCAAAUUGAAUAUCCGGAGAUGUUGGCCUUGGAUACCAAUUUUUUGUAAGAGUUGUCAGAUUGACUCUUUUGUUUGUGAUUCAUUUUAGUUCAAGAUUUUGAAAAGCUUCUUCUACUUU
rnacentral:lncRNA from 1 species